UGGGGAAUUUUGGACAAUGGGCGCAAGCCUGAUCCAGCCAUGCCGCGUGCAGGAUGAAGGCCUUCGGGUUGUAAACUGCUUUUGUACGGAACGAAAAGACUCUGGUUAAUACCUGGGGUCCAUGACGGUACCGUAAGAAUAAGCACCGGCUAACUACGUGCCAGCAGCCGCGGUAAUACGUAGGGUGCGAGCGUUAAUCGGAAUUACUGGGCGUAAAGCGUGCGCAGGCGGUUAUAUAAGACAGAUGUGAAAUCCCCGGGCUCAACCUGGGAACUGCAUUUGUGACUGUAUAGCUAGAGUACGGCAGAGGGGGAUGGGAAUUCCGCGUGUAGCAGUGAAAUGCGUAGAUAUGCGGAGGAACACCGAUGGCGAAGGCAAUCCCCUGGGCCUGUACUGACGCUCAUGCACGAAAGCGUGGGGAGCAAACAGGAUUAGAUACCCUCGUAGUCCCUGAGCGGGCUGGCAAGGCGCAU
rnacentral:rRNA from 1 species